GACGAACGCUGGCGGCGUGCUUAACACAUGCAAGUCGAACGGAAAGGCCCUGCUUUUGUGGGGUGCUCGAGUGGCGAACGGGUGAGUAACACGUGAGUAACCUGCCCUUGACUUUGGGAUAACUUCAGGAAACUGGGGCUAAUACCGGAUAGGAGCUCCUGCUGCAUGGUGGGGGUUGGAAAGUUUCGGCGGUUGGGGAUGGACUCGCGGCUUAUCAGCUUGUUGGUGGGGUAGUGGCUUACCAAGGCUUUGACGGGUAGCCGGCCUGAGAGGGUGACCGGCACAUUGGGGCCGGGGAACGGCCCAGAACCCUAAGGGGGGGAGGAGGGGGGAAUAUUGGACAAUGGGCGGAAGCCUGAUGCAGCAACGGCGGGGGGGGGAAGACGGCCUUUCGGGUUGAAACCGCUUUCGGCUGUGACGAAGGGGGGGGGACGGGAAUGGGGAAAGGAGCAACGGGUAACUAAGGG
rnacentral:rRNA from 1 species